rnacentral:lncRNA from 1 species
CCUAAGCCCCCACCCCUGGAAUACUUGGGAACUAGCCCCUCUUCCAUCUCCACGGCUAGAGGAGUAACGGAGUCUGGGAAGCAAGGGACUUGGACCAGAUCUGGCCCCAGGUGGCUGUGUGGCCUUGGACAAGUCAUUUUCCUGCUGUGUGUGCAUUGGUUUCCCCCUUAUUGGGUCCUGGCUCUCAGGAAGUUCUCAUCCCAGCACUGGGGCCUGGCUCUCAUUGCAGGAGUUCAGGAAGGCUGCAGUCCUCAGCGGGAGCCCUGGGGGAGCCCCAGGGGAGAUGCACCUCUGACCCCCGCUUUAGUGUAUUCAGAGAAUGAGACCCUGGAGGUCGCCUGCUGGUCAGGAAGGGGUCCUCAGGCCACAUGAUCCCCAGGAAGCCAAUGACAGCUUCCCCUUUGCCCCUGCUGUCCCUCUGUGCCUCUGCUGUGCACCCUGGGUUCCUGUGUCUAGAUCUCAGUUCUGUUUUAAAGGACCCCAAGGUCGUGCAUGUCGGAGUGAGGAAUUUCUUGAGCACAGAUGCCUGGGUCCACCCCUCCUGGGCACCUUGCAGGCUCUGUGCUAGGUGGCCCCCUGCCCUGACUGUCACCCUCCCUUGAAACUAUGACAGUUUUUCCUAUCUUCUUCCCCUCCCGCAAGCCACAGGUUAGUUGUGAGCACAAGGAGGUGGGGGCUUCUGAGGGAGGGUGUUAGUAUCUGCAUGGUUGCUAGAGUGGGGGGAAGGUGUGGGUUCGGGCUCCUGUGCUGGGGUUUUCCCACAACACUGUGUGUGGGACCUGAUGGGCCUGGGGCUGCUACCCUGGAUUGCCAGUGGGCAGUGGCGCCUCCACCUUCCCUCUCCAGCCAGUUGCACAUCACUUCCUGCUCUCACCUGCCUGAGCAUGGUGGCUCACGACCUCCCCAGGCAGUGGGGCUGCACAGAAGGCAUCAGGGCAGAGGGUGGGGCAGGGCCCGCCAGGUCCUCACUCCCCACUCCCUGCCCACUUGUCCAUAGGUGAGUUCAUCAAAGCGCUGUAUGAGUCAGAUGAGAACUGCGAAGUGGAUCCCAGCAAGUGCUCGGCCGCUGACCUCCCAGAGCACCAGGGCAACCUCAAGAUGUGCUG